GACGAACCGUGCGAACGUUGUUCGGAAUCACUGGGCUUAAAGGGCGCGUAGGCGGGCCCCCUUGUCCGGGGUGAAAGCUUUCGGCUUAACCGGAAAAGUGCCCCGGAAACGGGGGGCCUGGAGGGAGGUAGGGGCAGCCGGAACUUCCGGUGGAGCGGUGAAAUGCGUAGAUAUCGUAAGGAAGACCAGUGGCGAAGGCGGGUCUCUGGACAGUUCCUGACGCUGAGGCACGAAGGCCAGGGGAGCAAACGGG
rnacentral:rRNA from 1 species